UACGAAGGGUGCAAGCGUUACUCGGAAUUACUGGGCGUAAAGCGUGCGUAGGUGGUUUGUUAAGUCUGAUGUGAAAGCCCUGGGCUCAACCUGGGAAUUGCAUUGGAUACUGGCAGGCUAGAGUGCGGUAGAGGAUGGCGGAAUUCCCGGUGUAGCAGUGAAACGCGUAGAGAUCGGGAGGAACAUCUGUGGCGAAGGCGGCCAUCUGGACCAGCACUGACACUGAGGCACGAAAGCGUGGGGAGCAAAACGG
rnacentral:rRNA from 1 species